rfam:Mesorhizobium loti strain TFLA 01-765 contig_15, whole genome shotgun sequence.
GGCAUUUCGCCAGGGUCGACCUCCUCCCCGACCCUGACGGAUACGGUCAACCUUCACCUCCUCCCGAGGGUUGACCACCGAAACGGCGCCCGCCGGACCUCCUCCCCCGGCGGGCGUUGUUC